GUAGGUGACCAGUAUGGCAGGAAACAAAGUUGGUUCCUUUUGGAACUGUGGAAAUAAUUUCUUAUAGAAAGCUGAUACUCUCACGAGGCAUUGAUUAAAGCUACUCUCAGCAUCCUGGAUGGAGCACAGGAGAGGUUGCACUUAUUUGGUUGCCAUUAUUUUCAUUACUAGUGCUUAGAUCCCAAAUCUUUGAUGGAAAAAUUCCCUAAAUGUCUAUCUAAACUUGGAAAGGCAACUGAGGUACUGUAAGGAGUUACAUAACUAGAUCUCUUCACAGGGUAAGCACCUACAUGCAUUUUUCCUGAAAUAUGGUUCUCUACUA
rnacentral:lncRNA from 1 species